rnacentral:tRNA from 1 species
GUCUCUGUGGACUAAUGGUAUCUCGUUCACCUUUAUAAUGCUAAUUAGGUAUCUUUAAAGUGAAAGAUAUGCGUUCGAUUCGCAUCGGAGGCACCA